rnacentral:guide_RNA from 1 species
AUAAACGCAUAGAUGUAUGAUGUAACGAUAAAUGAUGUCA